AAAUCAGAUGCCUCGAAAGAAUCAAUAUCCUUCUUGUCAGGGUUGAUAUUCAGAACCGGAAAAGGUUUAGGCUGCUUUUGAAGUUGCUCGAGCAAGGGCUUAACGUGAUUAGAGUAAACAUGUGCAUCUCCUAAAACAUGGACAAAAUCUCCUGGCUGAAGACCACAGACUUGAGCAAUCAUGCACGUCAAAAGGGAGUAAGAU
rnacentral:misc_RNA from 1 species